rnacentral:lncRNA from 1 species
GAAUCCGAACCACAAUACUAACUAAAUUUGAAAUUCGAAUCCCAACUCGAACUUGAAUAUGAAUCCGAUAGAUUUUAAAAAUUUAUAUCCAAACUCAAACCUGAUAAAAAAUUCGAAAUCUGAAUCCGAAUUCGAAAUAAUUAUUUUCUCUCAACAAUAUUUUAAGAUAUAUUAUAUUAAAUAUUUGGUAUGCGGACGCUCCACUCCGAUUCCGAUAUGUGGGUGAAUGAGAAUCCUCUAAUCACCUUAUUUCUCAAUUCGGUCUAGGAGGCUGGAUUGAAAAUUAAAUUCAGGCAGAAAGAAUUUAUUUUGCGAAAGAAUUCAUUUUACGAAAGUUAAAUCCAAACAGAAAGAAUUCAUUUUACGAAAAUAUCUCAAUUAUAUUUUUUUUAUUUUUUAUUUAAAAUUUAAUUUAUUUUUUGAUAUAAUUUUUAAUUAAAAUAUAAAUCUAAAAUUAGAAAUUAAAUUUUUAAUUCUAGGUUUUUAUUUAGAAAUUAAAUUAAAAUAUAAAUUCAAU